rnacentral:misc_RNA from 1 species
UCCGGCUUAUCACCGGCAGUCCCCCUAGAGUGCCCAACUAAAUGAUGGCAACUAAAGGCGAGGGUUGCGCUCGUUGCGGGACUUAACCCAACAUCUCACGACACGAGCUGACGACAGCCAUGCGGCACCUGUGUAGGCUGGUAUUGCUACCUCGUUAGACUUUCAUCCUUCUACUACCUACAUUUCAAGGCCAGGUAAGGUUCUUCGCGUUUCAUCGAAUUAAGCCACAUACUCCACCGCUUGUGCAGGCCCCCGUCAAUUUCUUUGAGUUUUAAUCUUGCGACCGUACUUCCCAGGCGGCACAUUUAGCGCGUUAGCUUCGCCACAAAAGGGGUCGAUUCCUCUUACAGCAAAUGUGCACCGUUUACGGCUAGGACUAC